rfam:Schistosoma mansoni strain Puerto Rico chromosome 1, complete genome
GCACUACUGAGGAGUCCCAUACCAGGAUGAAAUGGCCAUCUAGUGC